AGCUAGUAGACGGUAUUAUUAGUCUAACCUGCCCAAUGCUAAGGUGAAUGGCCGCGGUACUCUGACCGUGCUAAGGUAGCGUAAUCAGUUGGCUUUUAAAUGGAGUCAGGAAUGAAUGGGAAAACCUGGUUUAGCUGUCUCUGAGUCAUUUAGUUGAAUUUACUGUUUAGGUGAAAAAGCCUAAAGUUAGAAAAGGGACGAGAAGACCCUUAGAAUUUUCUUUAAGGGAAGUUUACUCCUGAAAUUUUGUUGGGGCGACAAAGAAAUAUUUAAAACUUUCUUUAUUUUAACAAGCCGAUUAUAUUAAGCAAGAAUAAAUUACCUGAGGGAUAACAGCAUAAUUCUAAAACUGAGUUUGUGACCUCGAUGUUGGACUAGGAAACUGGUAGGUUAGCCAUUUACCGUGUGGGUUCUGUUCGAACUUUAAUUCCUACGUGAUCUGAGUUCAGACCGGA
rnacentral:rRNA from 1 species